rnacentral:rRNA from 2 species
AUUGAUUGAUGGUGCUUGCACCUGAUUGAUUUUGGUCGCCAACGAGUGGCGGACGGGUGAGUAACACGUAGGUAACCUGCCCAGAAGCGGGGGACAACAUUUGGAAACAGAUGCUAAUACCGCAUAACAACGUUGUUCGCAUGAACAACGCUUAAAAGAUGGCUUCUCGCUAUCACUUCUGGAUGGACCUGCGGGGCAUUAGCUUGUUGGUGGGGUAACGGCCUACCAAGGCGAUGAUGCAUAGCCGAGUUGAGAGACUGAUCGGCCACAAUGGGACUGAGACACGGCCCAUACUCCUACGGGAGGCAGCAGUAGGGAAUCUUCCACAAUGGGCGCAAGCCUGAUGGAGCAACACCGCGUGAGUGAAGAAGGGUUUCGGCUCGUAAAGCUCUGUUGUUAAAGAAGAACACAUUGAAAGUAACUGUUCAUACGUUGACGGUAUUUAACCAGAAACUCACUACUAACUACGUGCCAGCAUCCACUGUAAUACGUAGCUG